UACGUAGGGGGCUAGCGUUGUCCGGAAUCACUGGGCGUAAAGGGCGCGUAGGCGGCUCAUGAAGGCUGUGGUGAAAGUCCAGGGCUCAACCUCGGAUCGGCCGUGGCGACUCGUGGGCUGGAGCACUGUAGAGGCGGGUGGAAUUCCGGGUGUAGCGGUGGAAUGCGUAGAGAUCCGGAAGAACACCAGUGGCGAAGGCGGCCCGCUGGGCAGUGGCUGACGCUGAGGCGCGACAGCGUGGGGAGCAAACAGG
rnacentral:rRNA from 1 species